rnacentral:rRNA from 1 species
UACGUAGGUGGCAAGCGUUAUCCGGAAUUACUGGGCGUAAAGCGCACGCAGGCGGUCUUUUAAGUUUGACGUGAAAGCUCCCGGCUUAACUGGGAGAGGUCGUUGAAGACUGGAAGACUUGAGGCAAUGAGAGGGGUGUAGAAUUCCCGGUGUAGUGGUGGAAUGCGUAGAUAUCGGGAGGAACACCUGUGGCGAAAGCGGCGCACUGGACCAUAACUGACGCUGAGGCGCGAAAGCUAGGGGAGCAAACAGG